GACGAACGCUGGCGGCGUGCUUAACACAUGCAAGUCGAACGGAAAGGCCCUGCUUUUGUGGGGUGCUCGAGUGGCGAACGGGUGAGUAACACGUGAGUAACCUGCCCUUGACUUUGGGAUAACUUCAGGAAACUGGGGCUCAUACCGGAUAGGAGCUCCUGCUGCAUGGUGGGGGUUGGAAAGUUUCGGCGGUUGGGGAUGGACUCGCGGCUUAUCCGCUUGUUGGUGGGGUAGUGGCUUACCAAGGCUUUGACGGGUAGCCGGCCUGAGAGGGUGACCGGGCACAUUGGGACUGAGAUACGGACCAGACUCCUACGGGAGGCAGCAGUGGGGAAUAUUGCACAAUGGGCGGAAGCCUGAUGCAGCAACGCCGCGUGCGGGAUGACGGCCUUCGGGUUGUAAACCGCUUUCGCCUGUGACGAAGCGUGAGUGACGGUAAUGGGUAAAGAAGCACCGGCUAACUACGUG
rnacentral:rRNA from 1 species